AUCAUGUGGUGGGGGCACUUGCAGGUAAGGUCUUUGAGCCUCUCUCAAGUUUUAUGGAACAUUUCUCCAUCCAUCUAAAAAAAACUAGUAAUGGCUUUUCUGAUU